rnacentral:rRNA from 1 species
UACGUAGGGGGCUAGCGUUGUCCGGAAUCAUUGGGCGUAAAGCGCGUGUAGGCGGCCCGGUAAGUCCGCUGUGAAAGUCGGGGGCUCAACCCUCGGAAGCCGGUGGAUACUGUCGGGCUCGAGUACGGAAGAGGCGAGUGGAAUUCCUGGUGUAGCGGUGAAAUGCGCAGAUAUCAGGAGGAACACCUAUUGCGAAGGCAGCUCGCUGGGACGUUACUGACGCUGAGGAGCGAAAGCGUGGGGAGCGAACAGG